rnacentral:rRNA from 1 species
GACGAACGCUGGCGGCGUGCUUAACACAUGCAAGUCGAACGGAAAGGCCCUGCUUUUGUGGGGUGCUCGAGUGGCGAACGGGUGAGUAACACGUGAGUAACCUGCCCUUGUCUUUGGGAUAACUUCAGGAAACUGGGGCUCAUACCGGAUAGGAGCUCCUGCUGCACGGUGGGGGUUGGAAAGUUUCGGCGGUUGGGGAUGGACUCGCGGCUUAUCCGCUUGUUGGGGGGGUAGUGGCUUACCAAGGCUUUGACGGGUAGCCGGCCUGAGAGGGGGACCGGCCACAAGGGGACUGAGAUACGGCCCAGACUCCUACGGGAGGCAGCAGUGGGGAAUAUUGCACAAUGGGCGGAAGCCUGAGGCAGCAACGCCGGGUGCGGGAUGACGGCCUUCGGGUUGUAAACCGCUGUCGCCUGUGACGAAGCGUGAGUGACGGUAAUGGGUAAAGAAGCACCGGCUAACUACGUG